rnacentral:rRNA from 1 species
UACGAAGGGUGCGAGCGUUAUUCGGAAUAACUGGGCGUAAAGGGUGCGUAGGCGGCUUUCUAAGUUGACGGUUAAAUACCAUGGCUUAACCAUGGAACUGCCGGCGAUACUGGAAGGCUAGAGGAUGGCAGAGAGAAGUGGAAUUCUCGGAGUAGCGGUAAAAUGCGUAGAUCUCGAGAGGAACACCGAUGGCGAAGGCAGCUUCUUGGGCCAUAUCUGACGCUGAGGCACGAAAGCGUGGGGAGCAAAC